UACAGGGGGUGCGAGCGUUAAUCGGAAUUACUGGGCGUAAAGCGUGCGUAGACGGUAGCGUAAGUCAGAUGUGAAAGCCCCGGGCUCAACCUGGGAACUGCAUUUGAGACUGCUCUGCUCGGGUGCGGAAGAGGGAAGCGGAAUUUCGGUGUAGCGGUGAAAUGCGUAGAUAUCGGAAGGAACACCAGUGGCGAAAGCGGCUUCCUGGUCCGACACCGACGUUCAGGCACGAAAGCGUGGGGAGCAAACAGG
rnacentral:rRNA from 1 species